rnacentral:SRP_RNA from 1 species
AGCCGGGCUCUGUGCGACAGGACUCCGUGAACCAUGUCAGGCGGGGAACCGAGCAGCAUUAAGCGGAUGGCUCUGUGCGCCGCGGAUUCACCUGACUGCC